GGGAAAAGUACUGGGUGCUGUGUGAGCAGGUGGCAGGGAGACUCAACUCAGACUGCAGGGUCUGGAAAGUCUGGCCUGGGCAGCCAGUCAUUAUGGGAGCUGAAGCACGAGUAGGGGUCACCAAGUCGACGUAAGAUGUGAUUGUGGCUUCACCCAAGAUGGCAGUGUGGAAGCAGACAGAAGUGGAUGGCCAUUAGGAGGCCAAAAAAAAAAAAAAAAGGAAAUCUCAACCUGAAGACUUAAUUCUAUCCUGGCAAAGACUAGAUCCGUCCAAGAUGAUUGUUACCACCACCACCUCACUCUGUAGUCUGUAUUCAACCUUGAUUAAAUAAUGGGAAACACUUGGCCAUAAUGAGUUGCCGGCAAUUGUCAACAGCCA